rnacentral:lncRNA from 1 species
AGAAGCUAGACAAAGCUCAAGCUAUUGUAAGCUAUCAUCAUUCUAAUAAAAUUCCUUUCUCCUACCCACUUUGUCCACCAAAUUACUUUCUACCAAAAUCUUCCAAACUAUUAACUUUCAAUAAAAAGUCAACUAUUUUUUUCCUCCAAAAUUAUUCCAUACAAAACAUCCUCAAUCAUCCUAUCUCAUCACUACAACAACACAAAAACUAUCACAAAAAUCUGAUCAAAAGUCAAAAAUAAAUUAAAUUCUCCAAAUCAUGUAAGCCAUCGUCUAAAUGUUCCAUAAGUAUCAUCAAUAAUAUCUGUCCGAUCGACCGUCCCACCGUAUAUACUGUAUAUAAUUCGAGGAAGAAUACCUGCUCCUUCUCAUAGGCAGAUGGGGAAUUGUUAGAAGCCAUUGGAUCUCAGUGGAGUAACGCAGAGAGACAAUUGAUAACUCUUAUACAAACCCUAAACCUAGACAAUUUUCCGCAAUUUAGUUUCAAAAUCAAUAGCCUUGUCAACAUUUGGGUUUUAUUUUCCGCCCCUUUUUUCUGGAUAAAUUUGCUUUUCUUUCAAAUUAUUUGAUCAUAAUUUCUGUCAAAAUUGAUAGCUUUGCCACUCUUUUUCCCCCCAAUUCUUGAUUAAUUUAUGCGUUUGUGAUCGGUUUGGUGGUUGAAAAUUUGUCUGACUAUUCAAAAGAAAUGAGAUGAAUUAAGAUAUCACACUAUCGAUUUAAUCUCAUAAAUUGACAUAUCGUAAUAAGUAAUAAAGUGACAAGUGAGUAUCGUUCCUCAAACAUGAUUAUCGAUCAUGCUUUUAUCACAAUUAACUCUAACACGAGCACAAAAAAAUUAGUUCACAAUUUUAAAGAUUGAUUUCCUUAAUUACUAAUUAAAUCGAGUAAGUUGAUUGAGCAAAAAGAUUUGAUGAGUAAAAUUCAAUCAAGUAUUAGGACUACAAAUUCGUAAACAUGAUUUAAUUACCAAUUCUUGAAGUCAACUAAUUCUAUAUCUAUAUCUGAACUUUAAUUAUUCUCAAUUAAAUCGUGAAUAUAUAAGCAUGCAUUAAAAUACAAAAAUUAUUAGAUAGGGAAUUCUUCUCUUGUGAUCUAUUUCUAUUUUAUGCUUACAUGAUCGUUCUUCUUGCUGGAAAAAUCCAAGUCUUCCAUUUUAAGCCGGUGGGUUUUAAUUAAAAUUUCAAUUAUUGGUAUUAGUAAGGUGUCCUCGUCUAUGUUUAAAAAUGAUUUUCAUAAAAUAAUUCUCAUACAGGUAGGUGUUGUUUAGGCUUGGUUCUGUUUUUUGGUACUUUCAGCUUUGGUUAAGGUUUAUUUUGAUUUAAAAAAUUGAUUUUUAUUAAAUCCCACUUCGUGUUGAGACAAAAAACUAACUCAAGAGAGCUUUAUUUUGACCCUAACUUUUAGAUAACUAAUUGCUAAGCCACAACGAAAAUUUUAUAUAUAGAGUUGUGUGCCAUGAAAAUGAGUUCUAAAAAAUGCGAGUCA